rnacentral:rRNA from 1 species
GAUGAACGCUGGCGGCGUGCCUAAUACAUGCCAGUCGAGCGAACAGACGAGGAGCUUGCUCCUCUGACGUUAGCGGCGGACGGGUGAGUAACACGUGGAUAACCUACCUAUAAGACUGGGAUAACUUCGGGAAACCGGAGCUAAUACCGGAUAAUAUAUUGAACCGCAUGGUUCAAUAGUGAAAGACGGUUUUGCUGUCACUUAUAGAUGGAUCCGCGCCGCAUUAGCUAGUUGGUAAGGUAACGGCUUACCAAGGCUACGAUGCGUAGCCGACCUGAGAGGGUGAUCGGCCACACUGGAACUGAGACACGGUCCAGACUCCUACGGGAGGCAGCAGUAGGGAAUCUUCCGCAAUGGGCGAAAGCCUGACGGAGCAACGCCGCGUGAGUGAUGAAGGUCUUCGGAUCGUAAAACUCUGUUAUUAGGGAAGAACAAAUGUGUAAGUAACUAUGCACGUCUUGACGGUACCUAAUCAGAAAGCCACGGCUAACUACGUG